UUGCAAAUAAAAUGAGUGGUGGUGAUGAGUGGAUUUUGAUAGAUUUUUGGUCAAGCAUGUUUGGAUCAAGGGUUAGGAUUGCACUUGCGGAGAAAGGGAUUGUUUAUGAGAGAAGGGAAGAAGAUUUUCCUAAGAAAAGCCGGCUUUUGUUGGAGAUGAAUCCGACUUACCACAAAAUCCCGGUUCUGAUUCACAACGGCAACCCUAUUUGCGAGUUUUGGAACAUUGUGCAGUAUAUCGAUGAAGUAUGUUGCUUCGAGCCGUUUCUCCUUCCUUGUGAUCCUUAUGAGGGAGCUCAGACGAGGUUUUGGGCUCAUUUCAUUGACCACAAGCUACACUCCGCGAGUAUAUAGACGAUGUUGUACGAGACGAAGGAAGAGUUGGAGGCUGCCGAGAAGGAGAUGGUCGAGCACCUGAAAUUACUCCAAGAUGAGCUUGGUGAGAAGGCUUAUUUUGGAGGGGAGGAAGUGGGAUAUCUGGAUGUGAUUUUAGGUGGAUUUUGCACCUGGUUUUCCAUAUAUCAAGACAUGGGAAGCUUCAGCAUCCUUGAUGAGCUCCUUAAGCUCAUGGCCUGGGCUCACUGAUGCAUGGAGAGCCGGACCUUCUCCGAAUCUCUCUCCAACCCUGACCGGCUUCACGAUCUCAUGCAUGAUCAGAAGACGCAAGGGCAUCAAAUGAAUUCAUGGAUCAAUCUGUAUUGGUGCAGUGCUGUUGGUGUUAUAGAAUAAAAAACUCAAUACUAGUUACUUAGGGUUUAUCUUUGUGGGUGUGGGAAAAUGGGGAUAAAUCUGAACCAUUCAAUCCAAGCUUACAAGGUUUGUGUUAUGAUCAGUUCAAGAAUACCUCAAACUUUGCUUC